AUUGAACGCUGGCGGCAUGCCUUACACAUGCAAGUCGAACGGCAGCACGGGGGCAACCCUGGUGGCGAGUGGCGAACGGGUGAGUAAUGCAUCGGAACGUACCCGGAAGUGGGGGAUAACGUAGCGAAAGUUACGCUAAUACCGCAUAUUCUGUGAGCAGGAAAGAGGGGGAUCGCAAGACCUCUCGCUUUCGGAGCGGCCGAGGUCGUAUUAGCUAGUGGGUGGGGUAAAAGCCUACCAAGGCGACGAUCCGUAGCUGGUCUUAGAGGAUGAUCGGCCACACUGGGACUGAGAGAGCGCCCAGACUCCUACGGGAGGCAGCAGUGGGGAAUUUUGGACAAUGGGGGCAACCCUGAUCCAGCCAUGCCGCGUGAGUGAAGAAGGCCUUCGGGUUGUAAAGCUCUUUCGGACGGAAAGAAAUCGUCACUUCUAAUACAGGUGAUGGAUGACGGUACCGUCAUAAGAAGCACCGGCUAACUACGUGCCAGCCGCCGCCGUAAUAC
rnacentral:rRNA from 1 species